CAGUCAGACAAAACUCAUCCAUUGAACUGCAGUCAUGGAACAAAUCUCUGGUGAUCUUUGAUCCCUGUCAGACAUGUAGUGGAUCUGCAACCUGGAAUACUUGUACUUUAAAUGUAUGCCAAUCUCCUUGAAAUCAGAAGUGUGCUGCUAUAGCUUUGCUCCUGUGUGCUCAGCUCAAUCUUCUCCAUGGUGCCUGUUUUUUCUUUAAGGCGAUUAAACCAGGCAUGACUCACUGUAAGGACCCUGUUGACAACACCUGGCAUCCCAUUGGCUCACAAUGGAGGAACUCUGCAUGUGAGGACUGCAGCUGUGGGCAGUGCUGUGAUGCGUACAUGACUCCCAGACAAAUAGCAGCUGGCUGCAUGAUGGAAUUUGACCAGGAAGCAUGUGAAUACAAGGUGUUUAUGAUGAAUGAUCGCACACAGCCAUGUCCAAUGAUCGUGUCAGUUGGGAAGUGAAGUGACAGUAAUAAGAAUGACAGCACAUAGCCAUGUCUAAUCCUCUUGUAAACUGGGAAGUGAAAUUAUACAAAUCUGUU